UCCGGGAUGGUGGGGACGACUGUUGGGACCGCCUCUGCUAAAGAGGAGGAAGGAAUGGGCAACGGUAGGUCAGCAUGCCCCGAAUUAUCCGGGCUACACGCGGGCUACAAUGGUCAGGACAAUGGGCAUCAACACCGAAAGGUGAAGGCAAUCUCUUAAACCUGUCCUUAGUUCGGAUUGUGGGCUGCAACUCGCCCACAUGAAGCUGGAAUCUGUAGUAAUCGCGUCUCAAAAUGGCGCGGUGAAUAUGUCCCUGCUCCUU
rnacentral:rRNA from 1 species